rnacentral:rRNA from 1 species
AGAGUUUGAUCAUGGCUCAGGAUGAACGCUAGCUACAGGCUUAACACAUGCAAGUCGCGGGGCAGCAUAGGGUUUCAGCAAUGAAAUUCGGAUGGCGACCGGCGCACGGGUGAGUAACACGUAUCCAACCUGCCCUUUACUUGGGGAUAGCCUUGCGAAAGUAAGAUUAAUACCCGAUGGCAUUGGAAUCCCGCAUGGGGAUUCAAUUAAAGGUGUAAACUGGUAAAGGAUGGGGAUGCGUUCCAUUAGGCAGUAGGCGGGGUAACGGCCCACCUAACCGACGAUGGAUAGGGGUUCUGAGAGGAAGGUCCCCCACAUUGGAACUGAGACACGGUCCAA